UUGUCGGGUGAAAGGAUGCUCCAGUGAAGCACAUGCAGAAAGCAAAAUGAAAAAAGGAGCAGUGCAGCCAAUUUGGGUGCUAGAGUGUUACUUAUGUCACCACAGUGGACCCAGAGAAGCUCCUUGUCCCUUCGUUCAAAAGACUGAGAGUUGCCCUGAUGACAGCAAAGCGGAA